rnacentral:lncRNA from 1 species
CCAUAUCGAAUGUCUGUCGUCCAGCCUUCGUAAUUAAAGUCAUCUUCCUCCAUCUCGUCAAGCCUGUAAGGUCGAAGCCUUAAAAGCAUUUUCUCCAUUUCGUCGAGCAUCUCUGAUUGACGUGACUUGUGAGCACUUUUGUCGCAGAUCGCACCAUUUCAAAUCUCUUCUUUCAGUCUUUCAAGCCUCAAUUUCGCAUGUCGCAGGUCAUCAC